rnacentral:rRNA from 1 species
GGGAAUAUUGGACAAUGGGCGAAAGCCUGAUCCAGCCAUGCCGCGUGUAUGAAGAAGGUCUUCGGAUUGUAAAGCACUUUAAGUUGGGAGGAAGGGCAGUAAGCUAAUACCUUGCUGUUUUGACGUUACCGACAGAAUAAGCACCGGCUAACUCUGUGCCAG